ensembl:lncRNA
UUUCAACUAGUAAGAAAAGACAGUAGGCCUAAUUUAUAGCUUAGCCUAACGAAUUAACUCUCAGCUAGCGAACACAGCCCUAACCUUCCAUAGCUAGAUAAUUUCGCUAACAUUGACAGUUGGACGAUAUUAUAACAGAAGUGUGGAGGGCUCAAAAUUGGUGGCUGUUUUGCGAAGCGUUAACUCGUGUUUUUCUUUUUGUUCAUGUUUGGUAGAAAUGUUUCAUUCAUAGGUUGGUGUAUAUAGCAAAGAUAAACAGUUCCCUAGCGGGUGAUGAGCAUAAUGCACUUGCAGGUCACUAUGAGCAAUUUGUAUCUAAGAUACAGAAAAAUACCCAAGCUGAAGGGAUCACUGGUCAUAUGUUUAUGUACCCUGACUGCGUUGUUCAUUUGAUUGAGACAUCAUCAGAGGUUCUGACACUAAUUUUGAAAGAUCUGUGUGAAAUGGAGAAAAGUGCCAAGUGAGGACUGUUUUCAUACUCAUGUCUGAUGUUACCUAUAUGAAAUGCAAAGACUGAGUUUUCAAAUACAAUCCCUACUACUAGGCUUAGGCAUUGUUUUGGUCUGAAUCAAAUAUUUCGUGUUUAUUAAUUGAGGAUGAAUUGAUGGAUUUUCCUGCAUGUCCAGCCCUCUGUUGAAAGAUGUACGGGUGCUGGUGGUCUCACACUGUUUGCUCAGCCGUAUCUUCACCUCCUGGGCUACACAAAUCCUCACCGUAACGCUGAGUCUGCAGGAUAGCACGUCACAAACUGAGCCUGAAGAAUUGCUUGCCCAGAUUUACAAACUCUGCACUUUGAUCGAGAGAACCCAGGUAAAUGACUACCACAUCCCAACAGCAGAAUUAAAAACUUCCUAAAAUAAAGGCUUAAAUUCUGGAGUGAUCAAUGUCAGUCCACCUGUAUUUGUGGUAAAAUAAUACAUUGUUGUGUGAUACAAAAU